rnacentral:lncRNA from 1 species
GGAGGAGGGCGUGGCUUCCAGCGUUUGGCGCGGCCUUUGUCUCUGGCUCAGGCCGGAGCCUGAGAUCCAUCUCUACUGUCCCGCGUGUUGCCCCUCGGGAGCACUAGGUGACUUUGUCACAUCCUCUGUUGCCCUGAGAUCUGGAGGUACUGGGAAAUGCAUAGCUAAGAUGCCAGGACAUCCUGGAAACCAGGAAAUGUUUGUCUGCAUCUUGUUAUUGGGCCACAAGAACACACAGCCAGACCCAGUUUGGUCCAGGAACAACAUCUGGCAAGCUAGCCAAGAGUCACUGAAAUGGUGCUGCACUCAGUGGCCCGUGAUUGUGGCGAGAUGGUCAUUUGGAGACUCCCAGAAGCUGCUGGAUAAGAUUGUCCUGGGGACUCUCCCAGGGGCUAUUCCAUGUGCAAAAACCACAUGUCCCUCUCACCACUGGGGAAGAAUGGUGAUCAGGCAGGAGUGGAUGCACUCAAAGGGAAAAGUCUUUCUCUAGGACCUGGAAAUGAUUGCUCGGAAAUGUAAACAGCAAAAAAGUUAGAGCCCUAUCGCACAGCUUGCUCCAAGUUUCAAAAUUACCUUCUGUCCCUCCUGGACUUGGGACCAUUAUUUUUCCUUCAGAUAUGCCAGUCAGCAACCACAGAUGGCCUCCCCAAUUACCAGACUCACUCAGACAUUGCUGCCUUCUCCAGCCUCUUUAAACUUUAAAGGCCAGCAGAGAAUGCUAUGUUUCAGGAUGGUGAUUGGUGGUUUUCACUUUGGACCAUAAGCAUCCGUAUUGUGCUCACCUGCUGCUGUGUAAGACAUGCCUACUUCUGCUUUCACCAUGAUUACAAGUUUCCUGAGACCUCCCCAGCCAUGCAGAACCGUAAGUCAAUUAAACCUCCUUUGUUUACAAAUUACCCAGUCUUGGUUAGUAUUUUUAUAACAUUGUGGGAAUGGACUAAUACUGUCUGUUUUGUUAAAAGACUAAGUUUCAAUUGGGAGCCAAGAUGACUGACUAGACACAGCCAGGGGAAACAACUGACAAGACACUGAGACAUUGAAAUUUCCAUCCCAUUCUGAGCCUAUCUUCAGAUGAAAUGCAUUGCAAGUGGGCAGAGGGAGGACACAGAUGCUGGAAACCCUUCAUGGUGUACCAAGUACUAGGAACUUAAGUCCACUUUUUCUGAGCCCUGCAAAACAUCAGAACUUGCUCAGGGAUUGCCAUCAUUGUGAUCUAGACUGCCGGGGUUUUUUGUGAUUUUUUUUUUUUUUUUUUGAGACGGAGUCUUACUCUGUCACCCAGGCUGGAGUGCAGUGGCGUGAUCUCAGCUCACUGCAACCUCCGCCUCCUGGGUUCAAGUAAUUCUCCUGCCUCAACCUCCUGAGUAGCUGGAAUUACAGGCAUGUGCCAGCACGUCCGGCUCACUUUUGUAUUUUUAGUAGAGAUGGGGUUUCACCAUGUUGGUCAGGCUGGUCUCGAACUCCUGAACUCGUGAUCCACCCGCCUUGGCCUCCUAAACUGCUGGGAUUACAGGCUUGAGCCACCGUGCCCCGCCUAGACUGCCUUUUAUAUUUACUUAAAAUUCCAGAGCACUUUAGCCUGAGGGGCUAGCCACAACUCAGGUACCAAGUGCUGGGAUAAAUAAUUUUCUUCUGUCUGGGGCUGAUCAAAGUGCUCCCGCCAUGGGCAAUGGCCAAAUUCUGCCUUGGAUUACUUCCUACUAAAACAGGGCAGCACUGAGUUCCAAUGCAAAGUUCAACAAUCCCUUGCUGUCCUUCCCCUAAGCACACAAAUUCUCUCUUUGUGCCACAUAUUUACUGCUGGGAAAUGAGGGAUAAGUGGUGUAGGAAAUUCUAGACUGUCUUUCCUACCCUCUUCAGUACCUCUAUUUUGUUAAAACUGGGUACUGUAAUUACUCACCUAAUUUUUGGUUGUUGUGAAGGUGCUUUCUUGUGUGAAUAGUUGUUCAAUUUGGUGUUCCUAUAUGGGAUGAUUGCUAGAGGGUUCUAAUCAGCCAUCUUGCUCCACCUCUGUCUCUCUUCCUUUUUACCAUUAUGAAAUGACAAUCUUAGUCUCCUGUGACAGUUGUUUACUUAAUGUGUAUUUUGUCUAAUAUAAUUAAGACUACUUUACCAAAUUGUGGUUAUUAUUUGCAUGGAAUAUGUUUUUCCAUCCUGAUACUUUCGGCCUAUUUAACUCCUUAGAGCUAAUGUGACCCUAUUGUGGAAAGCAUAUUGUAACAUCUUUUUUUUUUUUUUUUUUUUUGAGAUGGAGUCUCGCUCUGUCACCCAGGCUGUAGUGCAGAAAAUAUUUCUUUAUUUGUUUGUUUGUUUAUUUAUUUAUUUAUUUAUUUAUUUAUUAUACUUUAAGUUUUAG